UACAGGAGGGGGCAAGCGUUGUUCGGAAUUACUGGGCGUAAAGGGCGCGUAGGCGGCCUGUUAAGUCGAACGUGAAAUCCCCGGGCUCAACCCGGGAACUGCGUCCGAUACUGGAAGGCUUGAAUCCGGGAGAGGGAUGCGGAAUUCCAGGUGUAGCGGUGAAAUGCGUAGAUAUCUGGAGGAACACCGGUGGCGAAGGCGGCAUCCUGGACCGGUAUUGACGCUGAGGCGCGAAAGCCAGGGGAGCAAACGGG
rnacentral:rRNA from 1 species